GGUUUCAGCCAAAUCGCCUCUCUCUAAGAAACCUAAUCGACCUCUGUAGUUGAUUUGCAUUUAAUCUCAUCGUUACUUCACUUCAUCUUCCUUCUCUGUAUUCAAUUCUCAUUAUAUCUCCAAGGCGAGACAGAAGCUAUGGAACCCUAAUAUAAUAGCACGUAAAUGAAGUGCUUCAGUUAGAUCGUUUCAAUUCCUUUAAGACACGCCCUUCCUCACGAAUAAUCUAACCCUUCGUUCCAGUCUCCACCCUUGAAUUGAAUCCACACACACAUGAGAGCGAGAAGGGAUCCAAAGGAGACGAUGACAAUGAUUCAACGGCGGUUAAGGAUCAAACGGUGGCGACGAUGGUUUCAAUGAUUCAACAGUUUGAAGUGUUGUAUCUGGAUAUGGUGGGACGUCAAUACGAUUGCUUGAUUAACCCUCUCGGGGCCGUCCGAUCAACGUUUGAGAAGGUGGUGGCAACUGGUGCAGAUCCGACAUCAUUUGACGGUAAAGAUUGGGGCGUACCAGAUCUAUUUCGAGAAUAUCUUUUUCAAAACGAAGCCGUCAGUUAGGUUCCGAUUCUGACUCAUUCAACGGUUAAAUGGGCUGGAUAGAUGAACAACCUUUCGCUGCUACUAAGUCCGGAACUGGCAUUGUUAUUGCUGUCAAAAAGCUUCAUCAAGAAAGUUUUCAAAGUCACAGGGAAUGGCUGAUUUGAGUAUCCACAACGUUUCAGAAAUUAAUGAAAGAGAACUGCAUGGAGCCUUUCUUUGUCUCUCAGGUCUUCUGUAUGGGACUUUGGUGUCUAGAUGAAAAAACCAAAUGGAUACGGGUGGCGACCUAAUAAUAACGAAGAAGAUCUUGGGAAAGUAGUUCAGGACGAUCGUCAUUCUUUGUGAUCGACUAUCUCGCUCGAUUCGCCGUCGAUGAACACAACAAGAAGCAGAAUACCCUGCUGGAAUUUGGUAAGGUACUGGAUGCAAAGGAGCAGUUAGUAGCUGGUACAUUGUAUUUUAUCACACUUGAAGCAACUGAUGGUGGUGUCAAAAAGACUUACGAAGCCAAGGUUUGGGUUAAGGAAUGGGAAAACUUCAAAGAAUUGCUGGAGUUCAAGCCUGUUGAUGCUGCCACCCCAGUUUGUGGAGGAAUUACAGAAGUAAAGGACUUUGCAAACAGCCUUGUGAUCGACGAUUUCGCUCGAUUCGCCGUGGAUGAACACAACAAUAAGCAGGCAUCAUAUAUCUCUUUGCUAUUUGGUGCUGUAGGUACUGUGAUAUCGAUCACCAUCAUUUCGUUUGGUGCUAUACACAUUUUCAAAAGAAUGAAUGUCGGUUCUCUUGACCUCGGAUAUUUUCUUGGUAUCGCUUACUUAACUCUUUUAUGUCAUCGCCUUUCUAAAUAUACCUAAAGUUCCUGUUCAAACCAGUCUAAAUGAGCAAAAACAAAUGUCUCAUUGACAUACUAUUUGUUUAGGUUUCUCACUUUCUUGAGCCGGUUAAAGCUAGGUUCACAAGAUCACAAUUUAUUUAGAGACGCUAAACAUCUCUGAUGGUAUGUAAAAAGUUACCAGAAAAGAGAGAAGUUGGAGCACAGGUACUAAAUCGUCGUUUGGCCUUGGGAUUGAUUACAAGGGAAGAAUAAUGUGUUGUAGUCAAUGAUGGAUUUGUUUUUCUUGGUUUUGUAGUAUAUUUAUUCAUUACAAAGUGUUUUUCCCCUCCAUCAAAGAACAAAAGAAAAACACAAGAUACUUUUUUUUUCCUUUUUGAGUAUAUACUUGUUGAAAACCAACCAGUUGUCAUUUUCUACGUUGUGAUCUUCAGUGGCGAAGCUUGAGAUUUUCGACCGGGGUUUUUAACGUUUUUAGGUGUGAAUUAUGUUCUCGGCCCGUAUUGUUAACUCCGCUGCAACGCGCGGGUUUCCCACUAGUAAAAUAUAGAGUAUUAGGUUGAAGAGUAUGAACAAAAUAACCCCUUCUUGCCUCACGAAUGGAACAUGAAACUAUUUGGACCAAAGUUAUACCAAAUAAAUGAUAAAGAGACUAAACAAACAAAAUAGUGAACAGAGGGACUAAAUUUGUACUUAUCUCGUAUA
rnacentral:lncRNA from 1 species